rnacentral:rRNA from 1 species
GAACGCUAGCUACAGGCUUAACACAUGCAAGGUCGAGGGGCAGCAUGGAGUCUGCUUGCAGACUCUGAUGGCCGACCGGCGCACGGGUGAGUAACGCGUAUCCAACCUGCCCAUUACUCGGGCAUAGCCCAGUGAAAACUGGAUUAACUCCCGAUAUUGUUCUGAUGCGGCAUCUUAUCAGGACAAAAGUUUACGGUAAUGGAUGGGGAUGCGUCUGAUUAGGUAGUAGGCGGGGUAACGGCCCACCUAGCCGACGAUCAGUAGGGGUUCUGAGAGGAAGGUCCCCCACACUGGAACUGAGACACGGUCCAGACUCCUACGGGAGGCAGCAGUGAGGAAUAUUGGUCAAUGGUCGGAAGACUGAACCAGCCAUGCCGCGUGCAGGAAGACGGCCUUAUGGGUUGUAAACUGCUUUUAUUAGAGGAUAAAGAUAUAUACGAGUAUAUAGUUGCAGGUAUCUAAUGAAUAAGCAUCGGCUAACUCCGUG